CUACGGGAGGCUGCAGUGGGGAAUUUUGCACAAUGGGCGAAAGCCUGAUGCAGCAACGCCGCGUGAAUGAAGAAGGCCCUUGGGUUGUAAAGUUCUUUCGGCAGGGAAGAAGGGUCAGACGGUUAAUACCCGUUUGAUUUGACGGUACCUGAAGAAGAAGCACCGGCUAACUCCGUACCAGCAGCCGCGGUAAUACGGAGGGUGCAAGCGUUGUUCGGAAUGACUGGGCGUAAAGAGCACGUAGGCGGGUUUACAAGUCAGAUGUGAAAUCCCCGGGCUUAACCUGGGAACUGCACCUGAAACUGUAAAUCUUGAAUAUCUGAGGGGUUGGUGGAAUUCCGGGUGUAGGAGUGAAAUCCGUAGAUAUCCGGGGGAACAUCGGCGGCGAAGGCGGCCAACUGGCAGUAUAUUGACGCUGAGGUGCGAAAGCGUGGGGAGCAAACAGGAUUAGAUACCCCAGUAGUC
rnacentral:rRNA from 1 species